rnacentral:misc_RNA from 1 species
ACGCUCAGCAUUGUCCUUGCCAUAGCCGUGCCCACCGGCAGCCGGUUCGUAGAAGUGCGCCUCGUAGCCCAUCGCCUGGAGCUUCGCCGCCAUCUUCCGUGCGUGGCCGGGGUGGACACGAUCGUCGCGCCGGCUGGUCGCGAUCAAAAUUGGCGGAUAGGCUUGCCCUGGUACCGCAUUGUGGUAGGCGGAUAUCCCGCUCAGGAAUUUCCAGUCCUCCGGCUCGUCCGGAUCGCCGUAUUCGGCAAUCCAGCUCGCGCCGGCAAGCAGUUUCGAAAAGCGGC